AAAGCGUGCGCAGGCGGUUUGUAAGACUGUCGUGAAAUCCCCGGGCUCAACCUGGGAAUGGCGAUGGUGACUGCAAGGCUAGAGUUUGGCAGAGGGGGGUAGAAUUCCACGUGUAGCAGUGAAAUGCGUAGAUAUGUGGAGGAACACCGAUGGCGAAGGCAGCCCCCUGGGUCAAAACUGACGCUCAUGCACGAAAGCGGUGGGGAGCAAACAGGAUUAGAUACCCGGGU
rnacentral:rRNA from 1 species